CGUCCUUCUUCCUCUCAUCUCUCCCGGUCAUCCUGGAUCUCUCCACCUUAUAAAUAAAAGUUUUUGUUCUUUUAGGUUGUAUGUAUGGGACUUUAUGGACUUCUUGAUGUCGUGGGCAGUCCGGAUGGAGAUGCCAGCGGUCUCUGCGGCCUUCUCUGUAAUGACACUGGGCGAAGAAGUAUUUUUGUUGUUGCUCCGAUAUUUUUACACUUAAGGACAUAUGGUAAAACCAAACUGGUUUAUUUCUAUUCGGCUAUCGUUUGGUUUUGUAUUGAAACCUUGGAAUGCAAAAUUAUGCGAAUAAAAUCGUUAUUAAAUGCUACUGCAAGUUUUGGUUCCUCAUUCUGUAAAUAUUCUACAUAUUCCGAAGUGAAAUUGUUCUUACUGCUCACUCCAAAAAGUUCAACGACCAAAGGAACUUCCUACUAAUCCAAUAUAUCAUUCAAAUCAAAAAUCAAUACUUGUAGUUUCCAAUAUUUUCUUUUUAAGAUUCGUUAACCAAGUAACUUUGUAAUAUGAAGUUGUGACUGUUCAAUAAAAAGGCUUUUAAUAAUAA
rnacentral:lncRNA from 1 species